GACGAACGCUGGCGGCGUGCUUAACACAUGCAAGUCGAACGAAGUGGCGAACGGGUGAGUAACGCGUAAUCAACCUGCCCUUCAGAGGGGGACAACAGUUGGAAACGACUGCUAAUACCGCAUACUGAAGGAGGGGAUUGUGUCUGAUUAGCUAGCUGGAGGGGUAACGGCCCACCAAGGCGAUGAGCAGUAGCCGGUCUGAGGGGAUGAACGGCCACAUUGGGACUUAGGCACGGCCCAGACUCCUACGGGGGGCAGCAAUGGGGAAGCUUCCGAAAUGGACGGAAGUCUGACGGAGCAACGCCGCGUGAGUGAUGACGGCCUUCGGGUUGUAAAGCUCUGUUAAUCGGGACGCGGUACCGGAAUAGAAAGCCACGGCUAACUACGUGCCAGCAGCCGCGGUAAUUC
rnacentral:rRNA from 1 species